rnacentral:rRNA from 1 species
CCUACGGGAGGCUGCAGUGGGGAAUAUUGGACAAUGGGCGAAAGCCUGAUCCAGCCAUGCCGCGUGUGUGAAGAAGGCCUUCGGGUUGUAAAGCACUUUCAGUGGGGAAGAAAGCCUUGGGGCUAAUACCCUCGAGGAAGGACAUCACCCACAGAAGAAGCACCGGCUAACUCCGUGCCAGCAGCCGCGGUAAUACGGAGGGUGCGAGCGUUAAUCGGAAUUACUGGGCGUAAAGCGCGCGUAGGCGGUCUGAUAAGCCGGUUGUGAAAGCCCCGGGCCCAACCUGGGAACGGCAUCCGGAACUGUCAGGCUAGAGUGCAGGAGAGGAAGGUAGAAUUCCCGGUGUAGCGGUGAAAUGCGUAGAGAUCGGGAGGAAUACCAGUGGCGAAGGCGGCCUUCUGGACUGACACUGACGCUGAGGUGCGAAAGCGUGGGUAGCAAACAGGAUUAGAUACCCGUGUAGUC